CCUGGGGCUGAAGCCGGUCCCAAGGGUAUGGCUGUUCGCUAUUUAAAGUGGUACGCGAGCUGGGUUCAGAACGUCGUGAGACAGUUCGGUCCCUAUCUGCCGUGGGCGUUGGAGAUUUGAGGAAAGCUGCUUCUAGUACGAGAGGACCGAAGUGGACGAACCUCUGGUGUUCGGGUUGUGUCGCCAGACGCAUUGCCCGGUAGCUAUGUUCGGACGGGAUAACCGCUGAAAGCAUCUAAGCGGGAAGCCUCCUUCAAGAUAAGUUCUCCCUGGGACUUUAAGUCCCCUAAAGAGCCGUUCAAGACCAGGACGUUGAUAGGCAGGGUGUGGAAGCGUUGUGAGGCGUUGAGCUAACCUGUACUAAUUGCUCGUGAGGCUUGACCAUAUAA
rnacentral:rRNA from 1 species